rnacentral:rRNA from 1 species
AUUGAACGCUGGCGGCAGGCUUAACACAUGCAAGUCGAGCGGGGUGAUGGUGCUUGCACUAUCACUUAGCGGCGGACGGGUGAGUAAUGCUUAGGAAUCUGCCUAUUAGUGGGGGACAACAUCUCGAAAGGGAUGCUAAUACCGCAUACGUCCUACGGGAGAAAGCAGGGGAUCACUUGUGACCUUGCGCUAACAGAUGAGCCUAAGUCGGAUUAGCUAGUUGGUGGGGUAAAGGCCUACCAAGGCGACGAUCUGUAGUGGGUCUGAGAGGAUGAUCCGCCAAACUGGGACUGAGACACGGCCCAGACUCCUACGGGAGGCAGCAGUGGGGAAUAUUGGACAAUGGGGGGAACCCUGAUCCAGCCAUGCCGCGUGUGUGAAGAAGGCCUUAUGGUUGUAAAGCACUUUAAGCGAGGAGGAGGCUCUUUUGGUUAAUGCCCAAGAUGAGUGGACGUUACUCGCAGAAUAAGCACCGGCUAACUACGUGCCAGCAGCCGCAGUAA